UGUUUAUUUACUUACCUGGGUAUUAAUAGUUAAGAUCUUUAAACCCAAAGAAUUUGGCGGUAUCUCAUUCUAUUCAGAGGAACCUACCCCGUAAUUGAUAGUACACGAUUAACUUUACUUAAUUUAUUUGUUUGUAUAUCUCCGUUAUCAGAAAAUCUUUUUGGAGUAAUAAUUUUCUUGAUUCAUAAUUAUGAAUUAUUUCAGGUCAAGGUGCAGCUUAUAAUUAAGAGGAGGUGGGUUACAAUAGAUUUUUGUUUAUUAUGGAUUUUAUAAUUGAUUAUUAUAAAUGAAGGUGGAUUUGAUAGUAAUUUGGUUUAGUUUAUCUAUGAUCCACUUACC
rnacentral:rRNA from 1 species